rnacentral:rRNA from 1 species
AGUGAACGCUGGCGGUAGGCCUAACACAUGCAAGUCGAACGGCAGCACAGUAAGAGCUUGCUCUUACGGGUGGCGAGUGGCGGACGGGUGAGGAAUACAUCGGAAUCUACUUUUUCGUGGGGGAUAACGUAGGGAAACUUACGCUAAUACCGCAUACGACCUACGGGUGAAAGCAGGGGAUCUUCGGACCUUGCGCGAUUGAAUGAGCCGAUGUCGGAUUAGCUAGUUGGCGGGGUAAAGGCCCACCAAGGCGGCGAUCCGUAGCUGGUCUGAGAGGAUGAUCAGCCACACUGGAACUGAGACACGGUCCAGACUCCUACGGGAGGCAGCAGUGGGGAAUAUUGGACAAUGGGCGCAAGCCUGAUCCAGCCAUACCGCGUGGGUGAAGAAGGCCUUCGGGUUGUAAAGCCCUUUUGUUGGGAAAGAAAAGCAGCAGGCUAAUACCCCGCUGUUCUGACGGUACCCAAAGAAUAAGCACCGGCUAACUUCGUG